CGGAACAAAGGAGGCGAGCGCAGCUGCACGCGCAGGGAGGCCCACAGCGUCCCGGGCCCCUCCUCCCCCGCCGCCGCCGGGGCACACCGCACCUGAACCCCACUCCCCAGGACGCCCCAUUGUUCUCCCUCCGCUUUCCUGCCCGGAGGAAGCCACACCGUGUCUUUCCAGGGGGCCAGGAAACAGCUGUGGGCCAGAGGAAUGGAGGGGCUGUGGGUGAACACGAGGACAGCCGAGAUUCGACUCUGCCCACAGACUCACUGACAUAAAAUGAGAAAUACAACAUUUGACAACUCGAAGCCAGCCUGGGGUCACAUUCCGGCAAACAGUGGGGACCAGCAAAGCCAAGGACAGAGAGGUCUUCAGGGAAUACAUGGCUAUGGUGGUUUGAAGACUCCCAUUAGAGAGUGGAUAUUAAUUGCCCUCCUUUUGAAUAUGGUCUGGACUUAGUGAUUUGAUUGUAACAAAUAGAAUACAGCAGAUGUGAUGCUAUGUGACUUCCAAACCUAGGUCAUAAAAGGAGAUGAAGUUUUCACCUGGCUCUCCCUUGGGACACUCACCCUUGGAACCCAGCUGCCAUAUUGUGAGGAAGCUCAAGCCACAGGGAAGGCCAUGUGUAGGUGUUUGGGCUGAUGGUGCCAGCUGAGGACCUGGUCUACUGCCAGUACAACUUAUAUCAAGCAUGUGAGUUGGCGAGCUUUUGAAAGAACUCCAGCCACAGUCACUGACCACGCUGCCUGAGAGACCUAGAGAGAAAACCUAGCUGAGCCAAAUCAGGCCCCGGAAAGGUUCCCAAGUGACUGCUUAUAGCAGUUUGGCAGUUCAUGGAACUUCUGACCUCUACUGUCCAGUUCAGCUUUUCAAAAAUAGCAGAAAUGCAGAUGGCAGGUUCAUGAAUAUAAGAUGUAUACAAAUUGAAGAGUGGGGGAAUUCUAUAAACUUUUGAUCUUGGAAGGUGGCCAGAUUUUAGAAAAAGUAGGUUUGAGACAACUAUGUGCUGAGUAGGUCUAUCAAAAUAGCUAGCUACUAGAAGUAAAGUUUUGAAACUCCUGACUCAAGAAAGGGAUAGGACACAGUUAUGUCAGAACAGUUCGGCCUCUAGAAGGACCUCGCAUAGUGAGGACAAUUAAGACUUUCUCCAUGAUUUUAGCAAGUUCAAAAAAGAAAAUAAUAGAAACUGUAGAACUUAUCCUAAUAAACACUAAGAAAAUGAACCAAGUUAUUAGCCAAAAAUAUUUCUAGAGAUAAAUAACCAGCACCUCUGCCUGCUUUCCUUACUCAAAUCUUUGAUGAGACCAUCUUUUCAGAAGAGGCAGGUGCAGCACCUUUGGAACCUGCAUUAACUCUCCCAGCAGACAAACAGACACAUUUCUUUCACAAGAGCCACCUCCUUUCUAAUUGAGAAGUCUGUUGCUCUUGGUGUUCUCCGGCCUGCCACGCCUAC
rnacentral:lncRNA from 10 species